rnacentral:lncRNA from 1 species
AUGAAUUUGUGGGGCUUUUACAUGCAGAUGGUGGAAUGGAACUCAGGACCUUCUUGCUGUGCGGCAACAGUGCUAACCACCGUGGGACCGUGCUGCCCCAAAUUCAUGCCAGCUGGUUCAGUCCUAACUGCCUAUAAGGUCAUCAGAAGGAGCUGUUCACACAGGCAUGAAAUGCCCUCGACCACACCAAUAACCUGCAUGGUUACAGCCUUUGGAAGGUGGGACAUGAGACACAACAGGAAGGUUAUGUUUCAACCUGAAAGACAGAAGAGAUUAUGAUUGUAAUAAAGUUUAUAAGAAGAGUUUUCCUUUUAUAAUCCAUUGUCAUUGUUUCUCUCGUGCUCCAGUAGCCCCAGUCAGUCAGCCUCACUGUAUGGAGCUAAAUGCCAGUAAUUACUGUUAUGUCUAUUCUCCUGAAGUCAUAGCAUCACAGUAAUUUGUUUUGUAUGUUCAGAAGCUUUGUGCUUGGGAUAUAAGUUGCCAUUUCUGCACUAAACCAUCUACAAUCCUGAGUCUGUACAUCCUGUGAGUGUUUGGUUCAAGGCUUCAGUCUACAGUCAGAGUCAGGUCCUCAUCCUCAGCCACAACAGUGGUUGUUACUGUCUAUCGACAUUUAAGUAUGUUGACUGUUAUUUGUUUCAUUUCACUUCUGUGUAUCUCUUCUCCCUCUGUGUGAAAGGUGGUCAUCAAUAACCCACAUAGCAAGCAGGUCUGGCCCGUAUCUGGCAA